UACGAGAGGGUGCAAGCGUUGUUCGGAAUUAUUGGGCGUAAAGGGCGCGUAGGCGGUGCGGUAAGUCUGUAGUGAAAUCUCUGGGCUCAACUCAGAGUCUGCUGCAGAAACUGCCGUGCUUGAGUGUGGGAGAGGUGAGUGGAAUUCCCGGUGUAGCGGUGAAAUGCGUAGAUAUCGGGGAGGAACACCUGUGGCGAAAGCGGCUCACUGGACCACAACUGACGCUGAGGCGCGAAAAGCUAGGGGAGCAAACAGGGAUUAGCAAACCCGUG
rnacentral:rRNA from 1 species